rnacentral:lncRNA from 1 species
CGCUACUAGAUAAUACAAGCCUCAAUGUCGCUUACCCUGACCACUCGUCCUCGUAACCAAAUCUUGCAAAAUAGACCAUUGUGGAAAAAAGGUUCCUGAACAAGUUAAAUCCUCUGUCAUCUUACUCACAGAUAUCAAGUCAACUUUGCACGUGCGAACCCCCAACACAUCUUUCAAAAAUACAUAUGAAUGUAUUGGCAAAGUUCCAGUAGCAGUAAUUGGAGCCUGGUCUCCGCUUUGUAACUUUACGGGUGGCAUGGUGGAAUGCUUCACAUUUGUGAGCAAAUGAGGGGAACACGUGAUAUAAUCUGUCACCCCACUAUCAAUGAUCCAAUCAAGUGUUGUAGAGCAAUUUUUAAACAAACUUGAAUUGGCAAUAUUCGCCUGGGAAUCAGGUUGUGAAUCACUUUCCUUUCUCUUUCAUCACUGAACAUAUUUGCUUAUACUGCUAAUUGGUGAGGUUGGGCAUCACGGCUUUCACAUCAUAAAAACUAGGAUUUGCAUCCACAUGGUUUGCUAAAGAAGAUUUGUUGCGGCCCCCACCUCCUUUUGAUUUGUUAGUGUCUUCUCCUGAUUUGUGUAGCCUAUGCCAUAAGGGAUAGCCAUUAAACUUCUAGCAAGUUUCAACAUCAUGGUUUGUAUCCCCACAAUAAGAACGAAGAAGCGAUUGUUGGCUGAAACUGGAGUUGGGUUGUGACUGAUUGGGCCUAGACUGCUGCUAGGUCGAAUGCUGCUAUCAUUGGCCAAUGCUAAGCCAUUGAUUAUUGUUGGUUCGCUGUUGUUGCUAACUGGACCGCACCACCAUCGAUGCACUUUCAGCUGCAACCCGUGCAGAACCUAAUUCUCUCUGCUUUUCCUCUUGCGAAACCAAUGCAUAUGCUCUUGGGAAAGGAUUCAUGAGUAAAAUUUGUCCCCUUACCGCACUAUAUGAUUCAUUUAAACCCAUGAAGAACUGCAUAAGAGUGUUGUGUUCCUCUCGUGCAUGAUGCUUCUUCAUAGCACCACAUGAAUAUGUCAACGAAUCGUUGUAGGAAGCCAAUUCGUCCCACAACUCCCUCAUCUUGGUGAAAUAGCUAGCGACAGACAUCUGCCCUUGAUGGAGAUAAGAAAUAUCUUGUUGUAGUUGGAAAAUUCUUAGUGCGUUGCUUUGAGAAAAUCGCCCAUUGACCCUUGAGGUCCUACCAAAUCUCAUGUGUUGUUGUCGAGUAGACGACAGUAUUGGCGAUCUCCGGUUCAAUGGAAUUAAGGAUCCAUGAGAGCACCAUAUCAUUGCACUGAAGCCAGCGAGAGUAGUGAUCUGGUUUGCUUUUCUCAAAUAGUAUUUGCUCAGUCCCUUCAACAAACCCUAGCUUAUUUUUUGUGCCAAGGGAUAAGCGAAUUGAGAGGCAUCACGUUGUGUAAUUAUCUCCAUUGAGGAGUUUGGGAACAAGGACCAUGCCCGGAUGGUCACUACGAUGAACAAAAAGAAGACUGCUGGCGUCAUUUGUACCAUCGUCCUCGGAGGCACCAGAACCUCCAUCUUUCUUCUUAGGCUUGCUCUAUUUUUCGUCUCCCAUGGAGAAUGAGGCGAAACAAGAAAAAGAUCUAAAUUGGUGGUUAAAGAGAAUGGCCAAAAAAACACACACAGGAGAUAGGGUCUUCCCUGCUCUGAUACCAUGUAAAAUUGGUAUAGAAAGAUAUUAU